GUACUCACUUUGGCAGCACAUAUACUAAAAUUGGAACGCUACAGAGAUUAGCAUGGCCCCUACGCAAGGAUGACAUGAAAAUUUGUGAAGUGUUCCAUAUUUUU
rnacentral:snRNA from 1 species